GACGAACGCUGGCGGCGUGCCUAAUACAUGCAAGUCGAACGCUUCUUUCCUCCCGAGUGCUUGCACUCAAUUGGAAAGAGGAGUGGCGGACGGGUGAGUAACACGUGGGUAACCUACCCAUCAGAGGGGGAUAACACUUGGAAACAGGUGCUAAUACCGCAUAACAGUUUAUGCCGCAUGGCAUAAGAGUGAAAGGCGCUUUCGGGUGUCGCUGAUGGAUGGACCCGCGGUGCAUUAGCUAGUUGGUGAGGUAACGGCUCACCAAGGCCACGAUGCAUAGCCGACCUGAGAGGGUGAUCGGCCACACUGGGACUGAGACACGGCCCAGACUCCUACGGGAGGCAGCAGUAGGGAAUCUUCGGCAAUGGACGAAAGUCUGACCGAGCAACGCCGUGUGAGUGAAGAAGGUUUUCGGAUCGUAAAACUCUGUUGUUAGAGAAGAACAAGGACGUUAGUAACUGAACGUCCCCUGACGGUAUCUAACCAGAAAGCCACGGCUAACUACGUG
rnacentral:rRNA from 1 species